AACGAACGCUGGCGGCAUGCCUAACAAAUGCAAGUCGACCAGUGGCGCCCGGGUGGGUACGGCGGGGGAAUCUGCCCUUAGGUUGGGAAAAACAGCUGGAAACGGCGGCUAAUACCGGAGGCCGGAGGAUGAGCCCGAGUGGAUUUAGGUAGUUGGUGGGGUAAAGGCCUACCAAGCCGACGAUCCAUAGCUGGUCUGAGAGGAUGAUCAGCCACACUGGGACUGAGACACGGUCCAGACUCCUACGGGAGGCAGCAGUGGGGAAUAUUGCACAAUGGGCGCAAGCCUGAUGCAGCCAUGCCGCGUGUAUGAAGAAGGCCUUCGGGUUGUAAAGUACUUUCAGCGGGGAGGCGUUACCCGCAGAAGAAGCACCGGCUAACUCCGUGCCAGCAGCCGCGGUAAUUC
rnacentral:rRNA from 1 species